rnacentral:rRNA from 1 species
GAUGAACGCUAGCUACAGGCUUAACACAUGCAAGUCGAGGGGAAACGACAUCGAAAGCUUGCUUUUGAUGGGCGUCGACCGGCGCACGGGUGAGUAACGCGUAUCCAACCUGCCCAUCACUUGGGAAUAACCUUGCGAAAGUAAGACUAAUACCCAAUGACAUCCCACGAAGACAUCUGAAUGGGAUUAAAGAUUUAUCGGUGAUAGAUGGGGAUGCGUCUGAUUAGCUUGUUGGCGGGGUAACGGCCCACCAAGGCAACGAUCAGUAGGGGUUCUGAGAGGAAGGUCCCCCACAUUGGAACUGAGACACGGUCCAAACUCCUACGGGAGGCAGCAGUGAGGAAUAUUGGUCAAUGGGCGAGAGCCUGAACCAGCCAAGUAGCGUGCAGGAUGACGGCCCUAUGGGUUGUAAACUGCUUUUAUAAGGGAAUAAAGUGGGUCUCGUGAGACUUUUUGCAUGUACCUUAUGAAUAAGGACCGGCUAAUUCCGUG